rnacentral:rRNA from 1 species
UACGAAGGGGGCUAGCGUUGUUCGGAUUUACUGGGCGUAAAGCGCGUGUAGGCGGAUCGUUAAGUCGGGGGUGAAAGCCCAGAGCUCAACUCUGGAAUUGCCUUCGAUACUGGCGGUCUGGAGCAGAGAAGAGGCGAGUGGAAUUCCGAGUGUAGAGGUGAAAUUCGUAGAUAUUCGGAGGAACACCAGUGGCGAAGGCGGCUCGCUGGUCUCUUGCUGACGCUGAGGCACGAAAGCGCGGGGAGCAAACAGG